rnacentral:rRNA from 1 species
CACGGAGUUAGCCGGUGCUUAUUCAUUUGGUACCUUCAGCUCUCUACACGUAAAGAGGUUUAUUCCCAAAUAAAAGCAGUUUACAAUCCAUAGGACCGUCUUCCUGCACGCGGCAUGGCUGGUUCAGGCUUGCGCCCAUUGACCAAUAUUCCUCACUGCUGCCUCCCGUAGGAGUCUGGUCCGUGUCUCAGUACCAGUGUGGGGGACCACCCUCUCAGGCCCCCUACCCAUCGUCGCCCAUGGUGAGCCGUUACCUCACCAUCUAGCUAAUGGGACGCAUGCCCAUCUUAUACCGUAACCUUUAAUUAUCAAAACAUGCGAAUCGAUAAUACUAUGGGGGAUUAAUCCGAAUUUCUCCGGGCUAUACCCCAGUAUAAGGUAGGUUGCAUACGCGUUACGCACCCGUGCGCCGUCGCCACCAAUUAAGCAAGCUCAAUCGUGCUGCCCCUUGACUUGCAUGUGUUAGGCCUGCCGCUAGCGUUUCAUCCUGAGCCAGGAUCAAAA